CAAAAACAUGUCCUUUUGUUUAUGAUUUAAGGUCUGACCUGCCCAAUGAUUUUUAAAUGGCCGCAGUAUUUUGACUGUGCAAAGGUAGCAUAAUCAUUAGUUUUUUAAAUGGAAGCUGGUAUGAAGGGUUUGAUGAGAAAGUAGCUGUCUCAGUGCGAUUGUAUUAGAAUUUUAAUUUUAAGUUAAAAAGCUUAAAUGUUUUAGAAAGACGAGAAGACCCUAUAGAGUUUAAUUUUUUAUUUAAUAGGUUUUUUUUGGUUUUGAUGUUUUCUUAUUUUUUAAAAAAUUUUGUUGGGGUGAUUUAAAAAUUAGAUUAACUUUUUAUUGAUUUAAUCACUGAUUUGUGAAUUUUUGAUCCUUUAAUUGAGAUUAUAAGAUUAAAUUACCUUAGGGAUAACAGCGUAAUUUUUUUGGAGAGUUCUUAUCGAUAAAGAAGUUUGCGACCUCGAUGUUGGAUUAAAAUUUAAUUUUGGUGUAGAAGCUGGAGUUUUAGGUCUGUUCGACCUUUAAAAUUUUACAUGAUCU
rnacentral:rRNA from 1 species